UACAGAGGUCUCAAGCGUUGUUCGGAUUCAUUGGGCGUAAAGGGUGUGUAGGUGGCGCGCUAAGUCGGGUGUGAAAUUUCGGAGCUUAACUCCGAAACUGCAUUCGAUACUGGCGUGCUUGAGGACUGGAGAGGAGACUGGAAUUCAUGGUGUAGCAGUGAAAUGCGUAGAGAUCAAUGAGGAAGACCAGUGGCGAAGGCGGGUCUCUGGACAGUUCCUGACGUGAGGCACGAAGGCCAGGGGGAGCAAACGGGG
rnacentral:rRNA from 1 species